rnacentral:rRNA from 1 species
UACGUAGGGCGCGAGCGUUGUCCGGAUUUAUUGGGCGUAAAGAGCUCGUAGGCGGUCUGUCGCGUCGGCUGUGAAAACCCGGAGCUCAACUCCGGGCCUGCAGUCGAUACGGGCAGACUGGAGUUCGGCAGGGGAGACUGGAAUUCCUGGUGUAGCGGUGAAAUGCGUAGAUAUCAGGAGGAACACCGGUGGCGAAGGCGCACAUCUGGCCCGAUACUGACGCUAAAGCGCGAAAGCUAGGGGAGCAAACAGG